rnacentral:rRNA from 1 species
UGAGGAAUUUUGCGCAAUGGGAGCAAUCCUGACGCAGCAACGCCGCGUGGGUGAAGAAGGCCUUCGGGUCGUAAAGCCCUGUCAGGUGGGAAGAAGGGUCCUAUCGGGAAAGGGGUGGGACUUGACGGUACCACCAGAGGAAGCACCGGCUAACUCCGUGCCAGCAGCCGCGGUAAUACGGAGGGUGCGAGCGUUAUUCGGAAUUACUGGGCGUAAAGCGCGUGUAGGCGGGGGAGCAAGUCUGAUGUGAAAGCCCCGGGCUUAACCCGGGAAGUGCAUUGGAAACUGUUUUUCUUGAGUACUGGAGAGGAAGGGGGAAUUGCCGGUGUAGAGGUGAAAUUCGUAGAGAUCGGGAGGAAUACCAGUGGCGGAGGCGACCUUCUGGACGGUUACUGACGCUGAGACGCGAAAGCGUGGGGAGCAAACAG